rnacentral:tRNA from 1 species
GGAUGGCCGAGUGGUUUAAGGCGACGGUCUUGAAAACCGUAGACCGAAAGGUCCGUGGGUUCGAAUCCUACUCCCUCCGCCA